rfam:Phytophthora infestans T30-4 supercont1.47 genomic scaffold, whole genome shotgun sequence.
AAUAAUCAGCGGGGAAAGAAGACCCUGUUGAGCUUGACUCUAGUCUGACGUUGUGAAAUGACUUGGGAGGUGUAGAAUAAGUGGGAGGCUCUGCCGUCUGUGAAAUACCACUACUCUCAAUGUUGUUUUACUUAUACCAUGAUGUAGCAUCUGUGUGGCCUCGCGGUCGCUCAGUUCUAGUUGUAAACUUGGGCUUUUGCCUGGGUGAGCUACGUGGAAGAACAUCUCUCUCGGCGGGGGGAGAGUUUGGCUGGGGCGGCACAUUCUGUUAAAUGAUAACACAGGUGUCCUAAGGUGAGCUCAAUGAGAACAGAAAUCUCAUGUAGAACAAAAGGGUAAAAGCUCACUUGAUUUUGAUUUUCAGUAUGAAUACCAACCGUGAAAGCGUGGCCUAUCGAUCCUUUAGUUCUUUUGAAUUUAAGCUAGAGGUGUCAGAAAGUUACCACAGGAUAAACUGGCUUGUGGCAGCCAGCGUCCCAUAGCGACGUUGCUUUUGAAUUCUUCGAUGUCGCUCUCCUAUUCAUGCGAAGUAGAACUCGCCAAUUUGUUGGAUGUUCACCACUAAUAGGGAACGUGAGCUGGGUUUAGACCGUCGUGAGACAGGUUAGUUUUACCCUACUGAUGAGUUCGUUGUCUAAACAGUAAUCCAACCCAGUACGAGAGGAACCGUUGGUUCAGAUAAUUGGUAACUGCGGUUAGCUGAAAAGCUAGUGCCGCCAAGCUACCAUCUGUAGGAUUAUGGCUGAACGCCUCUAAGUCAGAAUCCAUGCUGGAAUAGACGAUAAUCACCUUUCCCGAUGUGCCGCGAAUAGCGAUAGGUGUCUUCUGGACACCCAACAUCAUACAAUUGCAACGCACUCCGCUGCCUGUCAAGUACUGGCGGUGGAGAGUAGGCUGAUUUGUAAUUUCAAAUAUUGGGAAAGAUAAAUCCUUUGUAGACGACUUAACUACAGAACGGGGUGUUGUAAGCAUGAGAGUAGUCUUGUACUACGAUCUGCUGAGAUUUAGCCCUUGUUCUAUUGAUUU